AUCAUGGCUCAGAUUGAACGCUGGCGGCAUGCUUUACACAUGCAAGUCGGACGUCAGCACAUAGAAGCUUGCUUCUUGGGUGGCGAGUGGCGAACGGGUGAGUAAUAUAUCGGAACGUACCGAGUAAUGGGGGAUAACUAAUCGAAAGAUUAGCUAAUACCGCAUAUUCUCUGAGGAGGAAAGCAGGGGACCUUCGGGCCUUGCGUUAUUCGAGCGGCCGAUAUCUGAUUAG
rnacentral:rRNA from 1 species